GCACUGGCUUCGCUGAUUUCCCUCCUUUCCGAAGAACUGUAAUGCCAUUAAUUUGGUGUUGCAGGGAAACAGGACUGUUACUUUGAAAAAAUUAGAGUGUUUAAAGCAGGCUAACGCUUGAAUACAUUAGCAUGGAAUAAUGAAAUAGGACGUUUGAUCCUAUUUUGUUGGUUUCUAGGAUUGACGUAAUGAUUAAUAGGGAUAGUUGGGGGCAUUAGUAUUCAAUUGUCAGAGGUGAAAUUCUUGGAUUUAUUGAAGACUAACUACUGCGAAAGCAUUUGCCAAGGAUGUUUUCAUUAAUCAAGAACGAAAGUUAGGGGAUCGAAGACGAUCAGAUACCGUCGUAGUCUUAACCAUAAACUAUGCCGACUAGGGAUCGGAUGAUGUUAAUUUUUUAAUGACUC
rnacentral:rRNA from 1 species